UUAGGGUUUAUGGUGUCCAUUCUAUCUAUGACGCAGUUUCUCCGUCCAGCGCUUGCGUCUCUUUCCGCUGCGGCAUUUGCUGGAUGCAUUGGAGCUAAGCAUGGAUGCAAGGCUCUUUGCUCGAUUCCAGAGCAAAAUCAAACGACCUUGCAAGCUGCUAUUGCUGCUGGGAAAGGUCCGACUUUGAUUGCUUUCUAUGCGGAUCAUCACGUCGUGCCUCUGCCGAAAGGACACAGGUUUCCCAUGGAUAAGUAUAGAGCGACUAGGAUGAUCUUAGAAGAAGAUUUGCUACUGCGGAAUUUGCUCACUACUUUUCCAGCUCCAUUGGCAACUGAGAACGAGCUCUGUCUUGUUCACAGUGAAAGCUAUGUGCAACGAGUGUUUAGCGGUGCUUUGAACGAGCGUGAACAGAGAGAACUAGGCUUUCCAUGGAGUCGAGAACUUGUUGCUCGUUCUCGCUGCUCGUCCGGGGGAACGCUAGCAGCAAUGCACGCUGUCAUGCUCGGAUUGCGGAGAGCAGCUGCAAACAUUGCUGGUGGAACUCAUCACGCAUUUCCUGAGCACGGCGAGGGAUUUUGUGUUUUCAACGACAUUUCUGUCGCUGCAGUAGCUGCUUUGGAAGCUUAUCCAUCUCGUUGUAAUUUAGCUUCUCCAGUUCUGGUCAUAGAUCUCGAUGUCCAUCAGGGAAAUGGUACUGCUCAAAUAUUUGAGAACGAUAAAAGAGUGAUUACUUUCAGUAUUCAAGGAGCAAAUAACUAUCCAUGGCGAACCAGGAUGAAGUCUGACUACGAUGUGGAUUUACCAGACAAAACCGGUGACGAGGAAUACGUCUCAAUUCUCAAAGACUGGCUUGACAAGCUCUUCCAAAUUCACAGCCCCGGGCUCGUUUUCUUCCAGGCCGGUGUUGAUGCAUUGCGAGAGGAUAGUUUUGGUCGUCUCAAUUUGUCCAGGCAAGGUUUGCUCCAGAGAAACAACUUGGUCUAUAGUUCUUGUAUGCAACGUAGCGUUCCACUUGUGAUCACAAUGGGCGGUGGCUAUUCACGGCCACACACUGUAUCCGUCCAAGCUCAUGCCGAUGUCUAUCGCUCCGCUGCUCUCAGAUACGGCAUCGGGACACUAGCCACAGACUAGAACACAGAAGAAUCGCUCACAAAGUAAGCAAAAAGAAAAGAAACAAAACCACACUUUUAUUUUUCAAGGAAGCCGAGCAUGAUGGAGAAAACGUUGGAACUUCUACUUGGAUUUGGAGCAGCUCGUCGGGUAUCCAUCGAGCUUGCAGCGCUUGGGAAUGGUUGCCGCGACUGGAGCAUCGAUGGUGAAUCCAGCGGCCUGUGCCGCGGCGAUGGUGCUGCACAGGCAAGCCGGAUCAUCCUUAAACUUGCCAACGGCGGUGCAGCACUCGGUGGAGGGCGUGGACGUUUCGCUCUGGGCCGCUGCCUGGCACGGUAACAGGAACAAGACCACGAGCGCAAGCUUUGCGAGAGCCAUGGAUACAAAAGAAGAAGAAAAUCUCGCGAGAACUAAAGCUGUGAAGAAAGUAUGAGCUCCUUGAAGCUUUGUGAGGAGCUGAGAAGCAAGGUGUGGACUCUCGGGAGUUUGUAACGCAUUCUCGCCAGGAAUCAUGGGUGUAAGCUUCCCCCUCUUGACGAAUGGAAGGUAUUUGCACGCAAUGGGAUUCUCUCUCCCUCUCUUAUUUGAGAUUCUCGCGAUAAUGUUUGCGAUGAUCAUCAUCUAUCUGAUCAAAGCUUUGCUCGUAGAAAUUUUUCUA